UGAAUGUGACAAGACGUAACAAAGGGACCACUUAUACCGCAUACGUCCUACGUGAGAUAGCCGGCUACCUUCGAGCCUUGCGACUAUCACAUCAGCCUAGGUGGGAUUAGCUCGUUGGUGAGGUAAUGGCUCACCAAGGCAACGAUUCGUAACUGGUCUGAUAGGAUGAUCAGUCACACUGGAACUGAGACACGGUCCAGACUCCUACCGGAGGCAACACCGGGGAAUAUUGGACAAUGGGCAAAAGCCUGAUCCAGCCAUGCCGCGUGUGUGAAGAACGUCUUCGGAUUGUAAAGCACUUUAAGCUGGGAGGAAUGGUUGUAGAUAAAUACUCUACAAUUAUACCGUUUCCCGACGGAAUAAGCACCGGCAAACUCUGUGCCAGCAGCCGCGGUAAUACACAGCGUGCAAGCUUUAAUCGGAAUUACUGGGGCCCAAAACUCGCGUAGGUGGGUUUGUUAAGUUGGAUGUGAAAUCCCCCGGGCUCAACCUGGGAACUGCUUUCCAAACUGGCGAGCUUAAAAGAUGGGAAAAGGGGGGGGGAAAUUUCCUGGGGUGGCGGUUCAAAUGGGGAAAAUUUGGGAGGGGAACCCCCGUGGGCAAAAGCCAACCACCUGGAACGGAAACCGUACCCCUUAGGUGCCAAAGCCUGGGGGGCCAAAACGGGAUAAAAAACCCCCGGGAAGUCCACCCCCGGAAACAAUUUCCCCCUAAGCCCUUGGGAGCCCUUGGAGCUCUGAAGGGGGCCAA
rnacentral:rRNA from 1 species